GCAGUGGUGGUUCAGUGAUAGAAUGCUCACCUUCCAUGAGGGAGACCUGGGUUUGGUUCCCAGCCAAUGGC
rnacentral:tRNA from 1 species